rnacentral:misc_RNA from 1 species
ACAAACUUGGUCAUUUAGAGGAAGUAAAAGUCGUAACAAGGUUUCCGUAGGUGAACCUGCGGAAGGAUCAUUAUUGAAUAAACUAGGUGGAAGCUGUUGCUGUCCCUCUCGGGGGAAUAUUGUGCACGCCUCUGCCUUUUUUGUUUAUCCACCUGUGCACACACUGUAGGUCUGGGGAAGUCUUGGUACAAAAGAGGGAGGCAACUCUCUCUUGCGUAACUGUCUUCACUCAACCCAGGUCCUAUGUCUUUUUACACAUACACUACAAAAAUUAAUAGAACGCAUCAAUGGGCUUUUUAAGCCUAUAAACAUUAUACAACUUUCAGCAACGGAUCUCUUGGCUCUCGCAUCGAUGAAGAACGCAGC